AGUUGCACAUGAAAACCUCAAAUACUUAUUUUUGAAUAACUAGGAUUCACAAUCAAUUACAAUAGUUAAUCCAUUGCAGCUGUCUCUUUGGUAUGUUCAGGCUGGUUGUCCAAUGGAGACAAGGGAGGGUACGAUGGUGAUGGUGAUGGUGUCACUGGUCCUGGAGAUGGUGAUACUGGCACCGGUGAUGGCACCGGUGACACUGGCACCGGUGAUGGCACAGGUGUCACUGGCACUGGUGAUGGUGUCACUGGCACAGGUGCCACUGGCACCGGUGAUGGUGUUACUGGCACCGGUGAUGGUGUCACUGGCACCGGCACGGGUGAUGGUGACACUGGUGUUGGUGCUGGUGAUACUGGCACCGGUGAUGGUGAUGGUGAUACUGGUAC
rnacentral:lncRNA from 1 species